CUCCUUUCCCUCACUCCUGCGCUUCAGAUCAGUGAAGAUGAUGUGCGCCUGGUCUUCAGAAUGAACAAGAGAAGAAGGGAUCCAGCAUGUGUGACGGUGUGACACCAGCAUGUAUGAAAACCUGUGCUGACCAGCUGGCCCCCAUUUUCUCACAGAUCUCCAAAAGAUCACUGGAGCUGUGCAAACUCCCUUCCUGCUUCAAACGCUCCACCAUCAUCCCCAUUCCAAAGAAACUCAAGAUAACAGGACAUAAUGACUACAGACCUGUGGCUCUAACAUCUGUGGUCAUGAAGACUUUUGAGAGGCUGGUGCUGGGUUAUCUGAAGGACAUCACUGGACCCUUACUGGACCCCCUGCAGUUUGCUUACCGAGCAAACAGGUCCAUGGAUGAUGCAGUCAACAUGGGACUUCACUUCAUCCUGCAACAUCUUGACAAAAUAGGGACUUAUGUGAGGAUCCUGUUUGUGGGCUUAAGCUCCACUUUCAUCACCAUCAUCCCAACACUCCUCCAGACCAAACUAACACAGCUCUCUGUUCCUAGCUCUAUCUGUCAAUGUAUCACCAGCUUUCUGACAGAUAGGCAACAGCUAGUGAGACUGGGGAAAUUCAUGUCAAUCAGCUGCAUCACCAACACUAGCGCCCCUCAGGGUUGUGUCCUCUCCCCACUACUCUUCUCCCUGUACACCGAUGACUGCACCUCUACUGAUCCCUCUGUCAAGCUCCUGAAGUUUGCAGAUGACACUAUAGUCAUUGGUCUCAUCCAGGACAGAGACGAGUAUGCUUACAGACAGGAGGUUAAGGAGCUGGCUGUCUGUUGCAGUCACAACAACCUGGAUCUGAACAUGCUCAAAACAAUGGAGAUAAUAGUGGGCUACGGGAGAAACCCCCCUGCACUCCCCCCACUCACCAUCAUGGACAGCACUGUGGCUGCAGUGGAGUCAUUCAGAUUCUUGGGAACCACCAUCUCUCAGGACCUGAACUGGAUCACUUUGUUAAAAAGGCUCAACAAAGGUUGUACUUCCUUUGCUAACUGAGGAAAUUCAACCUGCCACAGGAGCUGCUGAAACAGUUCUACUCUGCCGUCAUUGAGUCUGUCCUGUGCACUUUCAACGUUCAACUACAAAAUCACACAUCAGAAGACUACAGAGAAUAGUUUGGACUGCUGAAAUGAUUAUUGGUGUUCUCCUGCCCACCCUCCAA
ensembl:lncRNA